UGAGGAAUAUUGGUCAAUGGGCGAGAGCCUGAACCAGCCAAGUAGCGUGCAGGAUGACGGCCCUAUGGGUUGUAAACUGCUUUUAUGUAGGGAUAAAGUGCGUGACGUGUCAUGCAUUGCAGGUACCACAUGAAUAAGGACCGGCUAAUUCCGUGCCAGCAGCCGCGGUAAUACGGAAGGUCCGGGCGUUAUCCGGAUUUAUUGGGUUUAAAGGGAGCGUAGGCUGUCUAUUAAGCGUGUUGUGAAAUUUACCGGCUCAACCGGUGGCUUGCAGCGCGAACUGGUCGACUUGAGUAUGCAGGAAGUAGGCGGAAUUCAUGGUGUAGCGGUGAAAUGCUUAGAUAUCAUGACGAACUCCGAUUGCGCAGGCAGCUUACUGUAGCAUAACUGACGCUGAUGCUCGAAAGUGCGGGUAUCAAACAGG
rnacentral:rRNA from 1 species